CCCAGAGUGCCUACCCUGCCCUUCCUGUGGGGAGUCAGUGGCAUUGAGAGCAAGAGACACUGUGCUAAGGCGCCUUCCAUUGUGUGGAAUCUUUACAAAAGCCUGGGGUGAAUACUAUCAUUAUUGCCAUUCUACCGGUGAUGAAACUGAGGCUUAGAGAAGUUAAGCUGUUCUUCCAAGGCCACACAGCCAGAAAAUGAUGUAAUUUUCAGAUGCCAAAGUCUGUGCGCAUUAAGAUGGGGUUCCCUCCUUGCCCUCUCUAGAGUGUGGAGAUAAGACCCCAAGGGUCCUUUGUAACCCAAAACCACCCAGCGCUCUGAAGGAAAGGGGGCCAGAAGUCAGCUUUGGAAGAGAAAGGGGGGUAAAUAGCAGAUAGAUGCCUGAGCAGGAGGGGGGCAGGGCAGUUGUCUCUCAGAACAGGUGUCAGAGAAGCUGUGACAGCCACUUAGAACCACAGUGGCAAGCCUCCUUUACAUGGCUAUUUGCAUAUAUUUGCAUUCAUUUGCAUCACCAAAUCUGUGGAAACGGCCUUAAUGGUCCCUGCCUCAGAAGACUGGCAGAAGCUGAGAGGGUGGGAGUGACAGGGAGGGCCUGGGGAAUUCAGGAAGGGAACGGAGGGAAGAGGCAGUGCUGUGGAGGCACUGGGAGGUGCUGGGCACUGCUCAAUUUGCAGGAGAAAGCAGGAAGAUUCUCUCCCAGGUGCCCUGAGUCUCCUUCUCGCCCAGAGUCUAUCCCUUGAGGGCAGCAGGAAAGGGGGUGGGAGAUUCAGAGAGCCGGGAGCAGAGCGAGGUUUGGGACCUGGGUUGGUGGGCAGCGCUCAGGAGAAAGGCCGAGGCUCAGACCUCGGUCGGGACCCCAGCCGCCGGGUCCUGGGGAGGCUGGCCAGAAGAGAGAAGGCCUCGCUCUGCGUCUCUCCGCUGGGGGGCCUCCCACUUGGCUGCCCGAGCUCAUUGGCUCGGUGUUGGAGCGCCAUCUAGUGGACAUGCUCCAGAAAGCACACCUUCCUCCUGCCCGCUCUGGUGCAGCCCCUUCCUUCCGGUGCCUGCACAAAACCUGUUUCGACUUUGCUAAUGCCGAGAAAGGGCAUGGUGCUGAAGUAGGAAGCUCCGUUUCAGAAGGCCUCCGUCUCUGCUGUUUUUCUGCUCGACCCAAUUUACUCAUGUUUCGUAUUUUGCCUCUGAAUAAGCCAAAGAAGCUAUGCUCACACUUCAAGGCGGAAGCAAGAAAAUUAAUCAUUCUCUGAGUUUUGUCCUAGGCCCCAAAUACCUGAUAACAUCUAAGAAAAGCCAGAUCCCAAACAUGUUCCAGUACAUUACGUUCAAACAAACCUUAGCUGACCCCUACCUUCGGUAAUUUAUGAGAUAAUGCCUAUUGUUCAUUCACCUGAUACUGGCCUUUGAUUGGAUUGUACCACGGACUCCUGAAGAAACAGUACCCCGGACCCUUUGCCAGAAUAAACCCCUAGCUCCAAGCAACAAGACUCAUUCUUCUCUCCUUUCUGAGUCUCCUGGACAUUCCCUCUGCUAUCCUCUGUCACUCACAUGAUUCAGUAAACUGUUUUCACUUUC